GAGACUGGGGAGGGAGAAAUCUCAGUUUGAAGUCUCAGUCUUCCUCAUUUCAACAGACUACAGCAGCAUCCGUCGGACCAUCAGCUCAGUCCCAUCAUACGAUGCAGUUUUGAGUAAUCAUAACACCUACGUGGAUGUAUUGCACUCCAAGUUAUGCAUGUGACCAAAACAAUGACCUGUUGUUAUUUUUGGCACUGUUCUCUGCGUUGAACGACUGAAGAAUCCCUAAAUAUUGGGAGCAUCAUCUCAGGGAACGGACUCUCUGGCGGAGCGCAGGACGGGAUGGGAUCGCAACAGCGCGUUUAGGAAACGGCAAUGGCAAGUUUAAACGUUCAUGCACUGCGGAUGCUGGCUAUAAAAACACAAGAGGUACGGCUUUAAAUGAAGUUUAAAAAGUAAUAAUCUGCAAUAAUUCAAUAAUCGGCUGUGCAUGAACUGCUCCGUCAGUGGCGGACUGUUAAUUCUUCACAUUAAGCAGCGCUGGUUCUUCGGGCACAAUGAAAUCCAUCUUCUACACGCGCUUUUUCAUCCUUCUUCCGUGGAUCUUGAUAGUGAUCAUCGUGAUCGACAUCGAUACGAAGAGACUGUCUGUACGGAACACGGCCAGCUUUUAUUUGUCUCGGCUGGGAAAUGUGCAGCAGCAGCGACGGCAGGUCGUCAGGACGACUCGCACCAGCAGCAGCAGCAGCAGCAGCGGGAGGAACGCAACAUCUCUCCCGGUCAUUUAUGCCAUCACUCCUACUUACAGCCGAGCGGUGCAGAAAGCAGAGCUCACCCGCUUGGCAAAUACGUUCCGCCAGGUACCGCAGUUCCACUGGAUCUUGGUGGAGGACUCUAACUCGCACUCGGAGCUGGUUUCUCGGUUUCUCGCCCGCUCUGGGCUGCGAUACACUCACCUGAACGUGUUCACCCCGCGCAGGUUCAAGCGGACAGGGAUGCCCCGAGCGACCGAGCAGAGGAACUUAGCGCUCGGCUGGCUGAGAGGACAUCGAUCGCCCAAAGAUAAAGGAGUCGUUUUCUUCGCGGAUGAUGAUAACACUUACAGCCUUGAAUUAUUUGAAGAGAUGCGGUCAACCAGGAGAGUGUCAGUGUGGCCAGUGGGACUCGUUGGAGGACGGAGGUACGAGCGGCCCUUGGUGGAAAAGGGGAAAGUGGUCGGCUGGUACACUGGUUGGAAGGCCGACAGGCCAUUUGCAAUUGACAUGGCUGGCUUUGCAGUGAACCUGCAGGUGAUCCUGUCAAACCCGCGUGCCCUGUUCAAGAGAAGAGGAGCUAAACCAGGAAUGCAAGAGUCUGAUUUCCUCAAACAAAUCACUAAGGUGGAGGACUUGGAGCCAAAGGCCAAGAACUGUACCCAGAAGCCAAUACGAGGUAUUGAAGAGGGGAGAUAGGAUCUAGAGGAGCAGGGUGACAGAGUGCCUCGUCUUAUUCCUGGAUCGCUCAAAGUCCUGGUCUGGCAUACCCGCACUGAGAAGGUCAACCUGGGUAACGAACCAAAGCGGCAACAGGACUCGGUCUAUAUAGAGGUCUAGCGAGCAACACUGCACUAAGACUGUCACAGAACACUGGAAUAAGGCCCGCCAUC